GAACAAAUAAAGCUAUAAUUUAAACACAGUAGCAACAAGAUUGUAACCAUAGUACACUAACAUGACCACAGAAGAUAAACCCACAUACACAACCACAGACGGUCUGUCCAUACAAUAAAUACACAGAGCCUGUCUUUCAUUUUCGAGCACUUCAUUAACCUUGUAUCAAUUGGUGGUCAUCGGCUCAGCCAUACAACACCGAAAGCGUGCUUUGCGGACUGUGCUCAUGAUCUCUAUCUCAGCUUUCUCCAGCAUCCUGACAACCUCAGUGAAAGGGGGGCGCACAUCGGGGUUUGCAUCCCAGCAGCGAGUCAUUAUUUCGCCUAGCACAGGGAGGCAGCCCUGUGGAACGAUCGGGCGAAAUCCCCUAUUGACGACAGCAAAUGCCGCUUGGACAGCCGUCAUGUUCUGGAAGGGGAGCAGACCAGUUAUGAGCUCCCACAGGACGAUGCCGAAGCUGUAGACAUCGACUUUCUGAUUGUAGGGUCGAUGUUGAAUCAUCUCUGGAGCCAUCCAGCGAUACGUCCCAGUCUCUGGCGUCAUGCCCUCUGUCUGCACUUCAAUCCGUGCCACCCCAAAGUCUGCAAUCUUAAUCGAUUUGUCUGUGGAAAUGAGAAGGUUAUCCGACUUAAGGUCUCGAUGAAUAAACCCCAAGCCAUGCACAUAAGCCAUCCCCCGCGCAACAUCCAACGCCUGCUUAACCGCCAACUUCAGCGGCACAGACCGGUUCUGCCUCCUCCUCAAGAACUCCCGCACCGACCCGCCCUUCGCAUACUCCGUCAGAAUGCACCACACCACUGGCUUCCUACACGCCCCUACAAACCUCACAAUGUUAGGGUGCCGCAGGUUCGCCAACAUCAUCACCUCCUGCACGAACUGCUGCUCCAUCAGCUGCGCCCGUUCCGGAUCGUUCUCCGGCCUCUCCAGCAGCUUGAUGGCGACAUCCUCCCCCUUGUAGGAUCCCCGAUAUAGCUUCCCGAAAGCUCCCUGCGCG
rnacentral:misc_RNA from 1 species